GACGUAGGAUGCAAGCGUUGUCCGGAUUUAUUGGGCGUAAAGAGUUCGUAGGUGGUUUGUUAAGUCUGAUGUUAAAGAUCGAGGCUCAACCUCGGGAGUGCAUUGGAUACUGACAGACUAGAGUAUGGUAGAGGCAAGCGGAAUUCCCAGUGUAGCGGUGAAAUGCGUAGAUAUUGGGAAGAACACCGGUGGCGUAGGCGGCUUGCUGGGCCAUAACUGACGCUGAGGAACGAAAGCCAGGGGAGCGAAUGGG
rnacentral:rRNA from 1 species